GAUGAACGCUGGCGGCGUGCCUAAUACAUGCAAGUCGAGCGAACAGACGAGGAGCUUGCUCCUCUGACGUUAGCGGCGGACGGGUGAGUAACACGUGGAUAACCUACCUCUAAGACUGGGAUAACUUCGGGAAACCGGAGCUACUACCGGAUAAUAUAUUGAACCGCAUGGUUCAAUAGUGAAAGACGGUUUUGCUGUCACUUAUAGAUGGAUCCGCGCCGCAUUAGCUAGUUGGUAAGGUAACGGCUUACCAAGGCAACGAUGCGUAGCCGACCUGAGAGGAUGAUCGGCCACACUGGAACUGAGACACGGUCCAGACUCCUACGGGAGGCAGCAGUAGGGAAUCUUCCGCAAUGGGCGAAAGCCUGACGGAGCAAUGCCGCGUGAGUGAUGAAGGUCUUCGGAUCGUAAAACUCUGUUAUUAGGGAAGAACAAAUGUGUAAGUAACUAUGCACGUCUUGACGGUACCUAAUCAGAAAGCCACGGCUAACUACGUG
rnacentral:rRNA from 1 species